UAACUGAAGAGUUUGAUCAUGGCUCAGAUUGAACGCUGGCGGCAGGCUUAACACAUGCAAGUCGAGCGGGGGAAGGUAGCUUGCUACCGGACCUAGCGGCGGACGGGUGAGUAAUGCUUAGG
rnacentral:rRNA from 1 species